UCGCUGAUGCAACGCUGACACAAAGAUGCUGCCUCCAGUUCAUUUAACGACGCUCGCACAUUUGGACAGCAAGUAGCUCUUUCCUUUCCAUCCACCUUUUGAAGUUUGAAGCGAAGGUCGUCAGAAUUCAACACAAAUAUGAAUAUAGGGAGCAUGACCAAACAGAGCCUGCGACGACGUCCAUGAAGCCGUACAUGCCGUAGCAGAUCUGGAAGAGCAGGUCUUGGCGCUGCCAGCGCGCUGACGGGCUGAACGAGGACCACACCAGCCAGGAGAUGCUGGCCAUCAGGAAGAGGGAGCCCAGGAUGGCCGCCGCGAUCUGCACUUUCUCGAUCACCGUGAGCGAGAUGGCCUGCCACUGCCGGACCAAACAAACGCACACACUUUUGCAUCAAGUCCGGUCGAUGUCACACGCCCGGAUAGCCAUCUACCCCACCGUGAUUGGUCGGCUCAUCAGCUGCGCGUACGACACCGCGAAAGUGCCAUUCAUGUAAAAUUCGAGGGCCCCAUAUUGAGGUGGGGGCCACAAGGUAGCGUCUCGCGGGCCGCCAAUUUGAGACCCCUGACUUAAUACAACUGCAGCCUUGGGGAUGCAAGUGUUGUUUGGAGAAGGAUUGUCACAUCAUAUACGAGCCGCCUCGCUCUACGUGACAACCUUAAAAGCGAAGGCAGAAGAGAGGAACGAGUAACAUCCCCGCCGGCUCUAUCGCUCAAAGGCAUGCGGACCGUCCACUUAUCUCCCCUUUCAGAAACGCGCAGGCUUCGCACCUCGCCAGAUCCGUAUCUGGGUUUUGGCGGCGAGACAACACCCCCAAACGCCGGGCCGGCUGGCGAGGGACGAGGCCCGGCGUUAAGAGAUAAAACGGCGUUCAAUCAAGCUUUAUUGAGGAGCCGCGACGUAUCGAGGAGACGUCGGUAACGCGGCGGGGAGGAGGCCGUGGGAAACGCGCCGGGUUCGCCGCUGCUCUGCAUGCGCUGCAAAAUGUGCUGACUGCGUCGAGCAAUUGUGCGGGAAAGAGUUAAAAAAAUUUUUUUUUUAAGCGCACAUCAGCCUCUGGACCCCGUGUAAUUAAAAAGUGGGCGCUCGGAGGUGAAACGAUGCAGAGAGAUGCGGAAAGAGUAAUUAGCUUGUACGCCAUUAAAAAAACGCAACGAGCGUGAAAUGAUCCAGUCGGUCGCACGUUUUGCAUGAAGGCAAAGGGACACGUUAAUUGCGUUCCUUCGCAUUCUUCCGUCUCGGGCUGGCGCUCGCUUUGAGGCGCAUGCAACGCAGACUCACUCACAUAGUGGCGGUUUACAGCCGGCCGACGACAGCCGACUCUACACUCUCGUUUGCUGUCUCCCGCGGCACUCGUCGGGUCUGGCCCCGCCUUUUAAAGCCACAAACUCACAGAUACUACAGUGUUGAAUGUGAGGUCGAUGACACCCCCCACCCCACCCCACCCCGGUCGAGAAAAAUAAUACCCAGACAGCACAUACAUAUUUUGUAUUGGUAUUAUGCACAGAGCUUUAAAAUCCAUCUGUUUUCUUAGGCGCUUAUCCUCACAAGUGUUGCUAGAGUGCGUACAGUCGUUUGGUAUACUGACAUCAGCUUCUAAAGCUGUACGAAGAUGGCAAUGUUGUUGUGUUCUGUAUUUUAUAUCUAUGAUAAAUAAAGUUCUCGCGGGUUCACAGUCGUCGUCAGUAUUUUACAAAACAUUUUGCUGACAAAGUUGGACUUUCACAGAUACCAUGAGUCUGAAUCUUUAAAAAAAUAAUAAUUGGAUUCCCUCAAAACUGCAAUUGGCUGGCAACCAGUUCAGGGCAUCCCCCGCCUCCUGCCCGUUGACAGCUAGGAUAGGCUCCAGGGACCCUAGUGAGGAUAAGCGGCUAAGAAAAUGGAUGGAUGGUUUCCCUCAAAAAUGUAUUAUUCCUGUCAUAGCAAAACUUCCUUUGUCCUCAUAAAUUUUACUAAUUCGACCGUGUACAAUUAUGACUGUCUUCAUAAAUUUGACAACUCAACACAUGUAAAAUAACAUCCCCCCCUAUGAUAUUAUGACGUUGCUUUUGUAAUAUUACUUAAUUUUGAACUACUAUUUUUUCCUCAAUUUAUUUUUGCCUCAAUAACUAGUACAAGACUGGCUUUUCUUAUGUUGCAGUAGCAACGGAAGCCUCGCUCUGACAUCGGGUUCUGUCGAACAAAACCUCGGCAGUGCAGGCAAGUACCCAGUGUUGUGUUAAUGUGCGAUGUCCAUCGUAAAAGGAUUUUCCAAUCAAUCCGCCGAGGCAAAUAAUGUGCCAAGAGAGAUAAUCCGCGGAAAAUUAAAGUACUGUAAUGGCUUGCCGUGUAGGCAAGGAGUGAAUACCGCUACAGUAUUUCAUAUAGCAACUUUCUACCGACAGUCGUAGGCCAGAAGACAAGGACCCACCUCAGACUAAAUACCAACAAUAAUUUCUUUUGUCCAAUUUAGAAAUCAUCAAAACGAAUUGGCCUAGCAUAACCCGACAGUGGCCUUGAGAUGCCACAAGACGGCAGCAAAGACAUGAAGUUCCUCAACUCACUUGCGUUUGUUUGAUGCCACCAGAUGGCGCCAAAGUAACACCAUUCACUUUUUUGUGCAAUCAUCUAUCGCAUACAAAAUAUAAUAUCUCUGAUAUUGUGUUGAAACCUUUGUUUGAAUGUGGUUUUUAUCCCGCCACCACCCCUAAAAAAAUAAUUUCUAUUGGUCAGUCCCCAAGUGGAUAUGUUAUUUUUAUGUACAAAUUAUUGACCAAUGUGAAGUGUUGAAAAUGGCCUGCUCUGUAUGAAGAUGUUAUGUUAAUGGAAUCGACAUACAUGCCUUUAUCUCUUCCCCCCCCCCCUAAAAUCUCUGGAGAUGAUAUAAUGCUAACAACUCACUUAUUUGAAUAACUAUUUUUUUUGUGUGUCAUAAUAUAUCGCUCAUUGGUGUGUGAAUUUGUGACUCUGCAGGGUCGACUAUAACGACGAUUAAUUUGAGCUAUAAACCUGCUUGGGUAACGAAUUAAACUCAUAAAUAUGCCACUGAAGUACUUUUUGCUCUUUUUUUUUUUUUUUUUUUUUAAAUGCCAUGAAAUGUUUCUACUGUCAAAUGUGUAUGUGCCCUGGCUCAGUUCAAGGCCGGGAAACACUGCAGUACGGUGCACAUGUACACGGUUCUCUGCAGCUCCGCUCCUUGAGUGAAUUUGCGCAUCGACCGAAACGCACUCACAUGCUCCGGUCCCUGGAAGCAGAUCCUGCACACGGGCGUCCUGAAGCCGCUUUCCGUGUAGCUGGUGAGGGAGAACCU